rnacentral:rRNA from 1 species
AUACGGAGGGGACAAGCGUUGUUCGGAAUUACUGGGCGUAAAGGGCGCGUAGGCGGGAAGUCAAGUUAGGGGUGAAAGGCCUGGGCUCAACCUAGGAACUGCCUCUAAAACUGGCUAUCUAGAGUCCGGGAGAGGAUGGCGGAAUUCCCAGUGUAGAGGUGAAAUUUGUAGAUAUUGGGAAGAACACCAGUGGCGAAGGCGGCCAUCUGGUCCGGCACUGACGCUGAGGCGCGAAAGCGUGGGGAGCAAACAGGAUUAGAAACCCCAGUAGUCC